rnacentral:rRNA from 1 species
CAGUGGGGAAUAUUGCACAAUGGGCGAAAGCCUGAUGCAGCGACGCCGCGUGAGGGAUGACGGCCUUCGGGUUGUAAACCUCUUUCAGCAGGGAAGACGCGAAAGUGACGGUACCUGCAGAAGAAGCGCCGGCUAACUACGUG